ensembl:snoRNA SNORA74 Small nucleolar RNA SNORA74
UCCAACGGUUGUCAGCUAUCCAGGCUAUGUGAUGCCCGUGAUUGUGUUACUCUGUUGGAAGAAUAAUCACUGUCUUUUUUGAGGUUUUGAUCCUAGCACUGUUUUGGUGUUGUGAACAAAUACCUUUAAGGCAGUAUUUUGCACCUCUGAGAGUGGAAUGACUCCUUUGUGGAGUUGAUCCUAGUCUGGGUGCAAACAGC